AUUGAACGCUGGCGGCAGGCCUAACACAUGCAAGUCGAGCGAGCGGCGGACGGGUGAGUAAUGUCUGGGAAACUGCCUGAUGGAGGGGGCUAAAUACAGGCAACGGUAGCUAAUACCGCAUACAAUCAGAUGUGCACAGAUGGGAUUAGCGAGUAGGUGGGGUAAUGGCUCACCUAGGCGACGAUCCCUAGCUGGUCUGCUGGUAUGAACAGCCCCACCUGAACUGAGACACGGUCCAUACUGCUACGGGAGGCAGCAGUGGCGACUAUUGCACAAUGGGCGCAAGCCUGAUGCAGCCAUGCCGCGUGUGUGAAGAAGCCCUUCGGGUUGUAAAGCACUUUCAGCGGGGAGGCGUUACCCGCAGAAGAAGCACCGGCUAACUCCGUGCCAGCAGCCGCGGUAAUAC
rnacentral:rRNA from 1 species